AAGUCGAGCGGGGGAAGGUAGCUUGCUACUGGACCUAGCGGCGGACGGGUGAGUAAUGCUUAGGAAUCUGCCUAUUAGUGGGGGACAACAUCUCGAAAGGGAUGCUAAUACCGCAUACGUCCUACGGGAGAAAGCAGGGGAUCUUCGGACCUUGCGCUAAUAGAUGAGCCUAAGUCGGAUUAGCUAGUUGGUGGGGUAAAGGCCUACCAAGGCGACGAUCUGUAGCGGGUCUGAGAGGAUGAUCCGCCACACUGGGACUGAGACACGGCCCAGACUCCUACGGGAGGCAGCAGUGGGGAAUAUUGGACAAUGGGGGGAACCCUGAUCCAGCCAUGCCGCGUGUGUGAAGAAGGCCUUAUGGUUGUAAAGCACUUUAAGCGAGGAGGAGGCUACUUUAGUUAAUACCUAGAGAUAGUGGACGUUACUCGCAGAAUAAGCACCGGCUAACUCUGUGCCAGCAGCCGCGGUAAUACAGAGGGUGCGAGCGUUAAUCGGAUUUACUGGGCGUAAAGCGUGCGUAGGCGGCUUAUUAAGUCGGAUGUGAAAUCCCCGAGCUUAACUUGGGAAUUGCAUUCGAUACUGGUGAGCUAGAGUAUGGGAGAGGAUGGUAGAAUUCCAGGUGUAGCGGUGAAAUGCGUAGAGAUCUGGAGGAAUACCGAUG
rnacentral:rRNA from 1 species